GGUAGAGUCAGCAUAGAGGCGGCAACGGCGGAGGCGGCUGUGGUGAGGAAGAACGAGGGCUCGAACUUUCCUACUGGCCUGAGAGCUUUUGGGCUCCUGGGGUCACGAUGUCAGAGAAAAAACAGCCGGUAGACUUGGGUCUCCUGGAGGAGGACGACGAGUUCGAGGAGUUCCCUGCGGAAGACUGGGCUGGUUUAGAUGAAGAUGAAGAUGCACAUGUCUGGGAGGAUAAUUGGGAUGAUGACAACGUAGAGGAUGACUUCUCCAAUCAGUUAAGAGCUGAACUAGAGAAACAUGGUUAUAAGAUGGAGACUUCAUAGCAUCCAGAAGAAGUGUUGAAGCAACCUAAACCUGAACUGUUGACUAAAUUCUAGAACAGAGAACCCAGGAUGGGAUACUUAAAAAUGUUAAUUUCAUUACCUGCUUUGAUUUAUUUUUGUUUUUGUAACGCAAAAAAAUAAAUGUUUUGAUCUAA